UUAAGCAUGCGUGGGAUAGGCAUAAGGCUAUCCUAACUAUAAGAUAAGGCUAGGGACUAAUGAAAGUAUUUAGAAAAUUGGGCAGACUAGAUGGGCCGAAUGGUUCUUAUCUGCCGUCACAUUCUAUGUUUCUAUGUUUCUAUUAUGGGAAUCCCCUUAAUGCCCAUUUAUGGACAGUUUAUGAAUAAACACCACUCUGACAUCAUACGCUGACAUCACAAUCCAGCCCAUGCAUUAUGUUUAUGUAUAUCUGAGACACAG